GGGCGAUUGGCGCGGUGGUAGCGCGCUUCGUUCACACCGAAGAGGUCGCUGAUUCGAACCCAGUGUCGCCCA
rnacentral:tRNA from 1 species